rnacentral:rRNA from 1 species
UAAGGAAUAUUGGUCAAUGGACGCAAGUCUGAACCAGCCAUGCCGCGUGAAGGAAGAAGGCUUUCGGGUUGUAAACUUCUUUUAUGAGGGACGAAGAACUGACGGUACCUCAUGAAUAAGCCACGGCUAACUACGUGCCAGCAGCCGCGGUAAUACGUAGGUGGCAAGCGUUAUCCGGAUUUACUGGGUGUAAAGGGCGUGUAGGCGGGACUGCAAGUCAGAUGUGAAAUUCCAGGGCUCAACCCUGGACCUGCAUUUGAAACUGUGGUUCUUGAGUGAUGGAGAGGCAGGCGGAAUUCCCUGUGUAGCGGUGAAAUGCGUAGAUAUAGGGAGGAACACCAGUGGCGAAGGCGGCCUGCUGGACAUUAACUGACGCUGAGGCGCGAAAGCGUGGGGAGCAAACA